rfam:Triticum aestivum genome assembly, contig: Triticum_aestivum_CS42_TGACv1_scaffold_423701_5BS
CACGUACUCCCUCCGUCCGAUAAUACUUGUCAUCAAAAUAAAUAAAAAGAGAUGUAUCUAAAAACUAAAAUAUGUUUAGAUACAUCCCUUUUUAUCCAUUUUAAUGACAAGUAUUUCCGGACGGAGGGAGUAGCUU